rnacentral:rRNA from 1 species
CAGUAGCCACGGUAAUACAGAGGGUGCGAGCGUUAAUCGGAUUUACUGGGCGUAAAGCGUGCGUAGGCGGCUUCUUAAGUCGGAUGUGAAAUCCCUGAGCUUAACUUAGGAAUUGCAUUCGAUACUGGGAAGCUAGAGUAUGGGAGAGGAUGGUAGAAUUCCAGGUGUAGCGGUGAAAUGCGUAGAGAUCUGGAGGAAUACCGAUGGCGAAGGCAGCCAUCUGGCCUAAUACUGACGCUGAGGUACGAAAGCAUGGGGAGCAAACAGGAUUAGAUACCGAGUAGUCCCUGUCUCUUAUACU